AGCAGGAAAGCAAAAGAGGGAAGAGCAUGUGCUUUCAAAGCAUAAAGACUUAGGUUCAAAUCCUACCCCUGCCA
rnacentral:tRNA from 1 species